rnacentral:lncRNA from 1 species
AUACUGGAGGCUCAGCAGACUUUUCUGGUGAUCUCCUAUGAGGGCCGUGGCCACACUGUGGUUGACCUUGACCAUGCACUUGGCAAUGAAGCUUAUUGAGUUGAGAGCAAGAAGCUAAAGAAUGAUACAGAAGAACAUUUCUUCCUCAUUUCUGAUGUUUUCUUCUGUAGUAAAGAAAUUCAACUUGACUUUUACCUUCUUUCUGCUCCGGGGGAGGGAGGGUGACUUCUCUGAUUGGGUGCUGUGGGAAGAGCAAACUGGGUGUGUCUGGGUCACGUUCAUCUUUCUCCAUCAUGGGAAUGAGCAUGAAUCAUCUUGGUUCUUCUAGGGGAAAGCUUGCUAUAUUUCAACCCAGCGCCUGUCAGAAUAGAAUAGGACAACCUUUAAACCAAUAAAGGUCAGAACUUUUGAACAAUAAUCCCCCACUUGGAAGUCAAACAGGCUUAACUGCAAAACUAAGAAGCAGGAAACAAGCUCAUUAACAUCAAACACAUUUAAGAUUGAUGGAGGAAGACUUAAGGUUGCUCUUCAUUUGUGGCCUCUCUCUCUCAAACAACUUUUUUUGAACAUGAAGUUUGACCACCAAGACUCCUCUGCCAUGUACAGCUGUAUGCAGUCUUUCCUGAUACCUUUAAUCCUCCACUUCAUGACAUCAUCACGGACAUGGAGAAAAGGUAAGCUACUGAUGCUGGGAGGGAUUGGGGGCAUGAGGAGAAGGGGACGACAGAGGAUGAGAUGGCUGGAUGGCAUCACUGACUCGAUGGACGUGAGUCUGAGUGAACUCCAGGAGUUGGUGAUGGACAGGGAGGCCCGGCGUGCUGCGAUUCACGGGGUUGCAAAGAGUCGGACACGACUGAGCAACUGAACUGAACUGAUGUAGCUUUUGUUUGAAAAUAGACUGUGUAGUUAUGAGAUGAUCUAGCAAAACAUUGAAGACUAUUACACAUCCGAAUUUCACUAAGCUAGGGAAUAAAAUAUUCUGGUUUCCUAUUUGCCUAUGUGGU